rnacentral:rRNA from 1 species
UUGACUGGGGCGGUCGCCUCCCAAAAGGUAACGGAGGCGCUCAAAGGUUCUCUCAGUACGGUCGGAAAUCGUACGUAGAGUGUAAAGGCAAAAGAGAGCGUGAUUGCAAGACAUACAGGUCGAGCAAGGAUGAAAAUCGGACUUAGUGAUCCGGUGGUUCUGCGUGGAAGGGCCAUCGCUCAACGGAUAAAAGCUACCCUGGGGAUAACAGGCUUAUCUCCCCCAAGAGUCCACAUCGACGGGGAGGUUUGGCACCUCGAUGUCGGCUCAUCACAUCCUGGGGCUGUAGUAGGUCCCAAGGGUUGGGCUGUUCGCCCAUUAAAGUGGUACGCGAGCUGGGUUCAGAACGUCGUG